rnacentral:rRNA from 1 species
AGUGAACGCUGGCGGUAGGCCUAACACAUGCAAGUCGAACGGCAGCACAGUAAGAGCUUGCUCUUACGGGUGGCGAGUGGCGGACGGGUGAGGAAUACAUCGGAAUCUACUUUUUCGUGGGGGAUAACGUAGGGAAACUUACGCUAAUACCGCAUACGACCUACGGGUGAAAGCAGGGGAUCUUCGGACCUUGCGCGAUUGACUGAGCCGAUGUCGGAUUAGCUAGUUGGCGGGGUAAAGGCCCACCAAGGCGACGAUCCGUAGCUGGUCUGAGAGGAUGAUCAGCCACACUGGAACUGAGACACGGUCCAGACUCCUACGGGAGGCAGCAGUGGGGAAUAUUGGACAAUGGGCGCAAGCCUGAUCCAGCCAUACCGCGUGGGUGAAGAAGGCCUUCGGGUUGUAAAGCCCUUUUGUUGGGAAAGAAAAGCAGUAGGUUAAUACCCCGCUGUUCUGACGGUACCCAAAGAAUAAGCACCGGCUAACUUCGUG